UGGUGCUAUUGACAAGAAGUCUGAAAGAAAAUGCUUCCAUGGCAGGAAAAAUAAUAAGGGAAGAUACUAAAAAAAUUGGAGAGUCACACAAGCUUGCAGACACAAACUUUUCCAAGUUAAAAGUUGAAAGUGAGCGCUUGGAGGCUCACACAAAGACGUCUUGUAACUGGUGGAUAUGGAUCAUGAUUGUACUGGUCAUCUUGACCUUCCUAUGGAUGGUCCUGUUUAUGAGGAUGUUUCCCAAGAGAUGACCUCUUAGUCCACAGCUGUAGGCUAGUAUUAGUGCUCUAAGUAGAAAAAAAGUGUCAAAAAGAAAGAACCAGAUUCAAGACCUAGGGUCCCCUCAGCAGUAGAUCUGUAGGUUCCUCAAACAUAAACAGAUCCCACCUUUGAUAAAACCUUUAUCACCCCAGAAAGACCUGCAGUUUAACAGUUACUAAGACAAAUUGUUUACAUCUUACAUUCACAUUAAUAUGUAUUAUUUAUGAAAUAAAAUGUAUCCCGUAGUUCAGAUUUAAGUUUUGGAUUUUAUUUUGAUUGAAUGCUGAAACAAUAAUGGCUCAGAGAGGUGUGGGCUGCUUCAAAGUUAAGGACCAACAGCCACUGCAACCAGUCCAUUUUGAACUGCUAAGCACAGUAGGUAUUUUAUUUAAUCCAUGAGGCAUGGCAUGACACAACACACUUUUAAUAAUAAUUUCAGACAAUGAUUUUAUUCUGGAAUCCUUAUCAUAAAGAUAUCUUGAUACCAUGGAUUACAGUUACUCAAGCUAAAAGCCUGGGAACUUCAUCUUACAUCCUUUGAUAUCUUGUAUGUUAUAGCAAGAGGCACAGUCAGAACAUGUCAUAAAUGGCCCUGCCCUGAAUUUAGACUUGUCAACAACAAAGAGGUUAUAGGAAAGUACCCAGAGUGGUAGGCAAGUCUUGCCUUCUGAUGCGCACUAAAAUGGGGCAUUCCUUAUUUCAGCACCUGUGCUAUAUUUUAUGAAGAAAGACCCAGUAUGAAGUUACUCUGAGCAAAAAUUAUUUUGAGUAUACUCUAUAUGCAAACAAAAUGAAAUGUCAAGACUAGCCUACCACUUGUGUUACAUCUGAUCAACCCCUCCUGGACAAGUGGUAGUGGUGGCAAGCAUUUAGAUCCUAGAUAAAGGUCAAAUGUUGCAAUCAAAGUAAGGUUAAAAUCUGUACAUGUUGCAUUACUUCUAAAUAUUUGUCAAUGACCGACUUAUUUUGUUAGAGAACAUAAUGAAAGUAACCAUAUUUUCACUUGAUAUGCUAGCAAAAACAAGAUAUCUUAGCAGAUUUAUUAUGUGCACUUUUCUCCAACAUGACAGUGGAGAGACUCGCCACGAAUUAGUCUCAUCAGUGAAUAUCUAGUGAAAAAUCAAUCUGUGACCCUGGUAGAGGACAUCUCGCAUUUGGGUAAAUAAAAAUGAAGGUAUACUAUCCAAGUUUGAAAAUGUCUCAUGUCUUAAUUUCUGUCUACAUAUCCUGCACAGUUACAGGUGCUCUCCACCCCCCCCC